rnacentral:tRNA from 1 species
AUUUAUAUAAUAUAAACACAUUAUAUUUGACUUCCAAUCAAAAAAUCUAGGUUUCUAGUAUAAAUA